UACGAACCGUACAAACGUUAUUCGGAAUCACUGGGCUUAAAGGGUGCGUAGGCGGCCAUGUAAGUGAGGUGUGAAAUCCCUCGGCUCAACCGAGGAACUGCGCUUCAUACUGCAUGGCUUGAGGGAGACAGGGGUAAGCGGAACUGAUGGUGGAGCGGUGAAAUGCGUUGAUAUCAUCAGGAACACCGGUGGCGAAAGCGGCUUACUGGGUCUCUUCUGACGCUGAGGUACGGAAGCUAAGGUAGCGAACGGG
rnacentral:rRNA from 1 species